UAACCGGGAUCAUCAUCUGGUGGGAGGGAGUGUUUGUUGUUUUUAGCCAAGUUGUGCUCCAUAUGUCAAUGAGAUAUUCCUUUCUCUCACUUGUGGACAUGGAGACAUGGACUUGAGGAUGGUUAUUUAUUAUUUUUGUAUGGUGCAAGUGCCUUGGAAUGUUUGCUAGUCAUUGUACUCUGUUACUAGUGUUGAACAUGUACUACAAAUAUAUUGUCAAGACAUGUAUGUGUUACCCAGGGGUGCUGUGUCAUACACAAGCAUGUCACAUGCUAUACAGAUAGGUCAUAGGAUACCCAGGAAAUUGAAUUUAUUUUCGGGGAUGUCGUAUGAGUGAGUGAGUGAGUUACUAUUUAACGUCACAUCGGCAAUAUCUCAGCCAUAUCGUGACGAAUGAUGAAGGAUGUCGUAUGAUGUCCUUGGAUGUCAUGAUGGGUGUCGUGUCAUGUGGUGCCCAGGGAUGUUGCGAGAUACCGGGGGGGUUCACACACUGUCCAGGUCGAUGUCGCAAUACCCUUGGGUGUCGCCAUCGUGUUGUGUGGUGCCCAGGAGUGUUGUGUGAUACCCGGGGGGUUCUCACACUGUCCAGGUAGGUGUUGAAUACCCUUGGGUGUCUGGGAUAUUGUGUGGUACCUGGGUGUGCCAUACAUUAUCCAGGUGGGUGUCAUGUACCUUGGGUGUUGUGUUGGGUGGUGCCAAGGUGUCCUCCCAUAAGUUAGACUUCCCAUUUGUCAGACAUGUUAUGGUUGGUUGCAGUCGGGUACACUGCACCGUUGCCUUUAUUAAGUAAUGGACUGAUCCAAAUUUAUGGAUAAUGACUUUAUUCAUCAUAAAUACAACAAAUUAAGAUAAUUUACCAAGGAUGAUUAGGGUAAGACUACAGAAUACCGGAUACCUUCCGCUAUCUUUGAAAGCAUGCGAUUUUACUUAGGGUUAGGGUAAGGGUAAGGGUUAGGUUUAGGUUGACAUGACACUAAACAAUAUGGCUGGUAGGUGUCCGGUAUUCUGUAGGUGUACCAUGUUUAAUUACACAAAAAAAUGAUCUUAUUCAGCAUAUUUCGAGUUUGGCUCCCUCUGUGAUCUCAAUCUUCUGGAUCUAUCUGUUUGUCCCUACUUUGUCUUGGCAAUUGAACACUGGAGGCCAUGUCUGUAGGAAGAUCAGGCACAUGAACAAGGUUACUACUAUCUACACAUUCAUCUUUAUAUCCUGGUAUUAAAGUCACAUGACCUAGGCUAGAGUAGUUUGUUAUUUCUGUCAGAAUAUAGUCAGAGCCGCAUUUGCAUUUACUCCAAAAUGAUGAUCCCUCUGGAGGAAUAUGAAUAAUACCCAUGUAAAUAUCACUUCUAGUAUUAAACAUCUGCCUAUCAAUUCUUAUCCAUAAGGAAAAUACACAACUAGAUACUAUUCUAACAAAAGCAUAGGGCAUUGGUGAGAGGAAGUUGGUCCCCAUAGUCAUGAUCAAAGUGAACAUCAUAAACAUAAACUGACAGAAGUCAUAAUCCUGUUUUGAUCAAAGUGAACAUUAUGAAAACAAACUUGGAGAAACCGGCGAUUGAGUACGUCAAUUAACAUUAGCAUACUGAUAAAAGUAUUUCUGUACAAAAAGUAACACAAUCAUAACUAGUCUUAAAAUAUACCGCUAGCCACUAUAGUAAAAACAUCUCGCUAGUCUAUGGGAUUGGUCUAUUAUGUCAGUGGGUAAGGCUAGGUUGUAAUCGCAGUAACGCCUGAUUGAUUUGUUUGAUAAUUGGCAUGUCUGACAAAUGGGGUGUCUAAUUUAUGGGAGUAAACUGGUGCCAAGGGAUGUUGCAUGAUACCUGGGAGUGUCUGACACUUUCCAGGUAGGUGUCGUGAUACCCUGGGUGUUGUGUUGAGUGGUGUCAAAGGGUGUUGCAUGAUACCUGGGAGUGUCUGACACUGUCCAGGUAGGUGUCGUGAUACCCUUGGGUGUUGUGUUGAGUGGUGUCAAAGGAUGUUGCAUGAUACCUGGGGGUGUCUGACACUGUCCAGGUAGGUGUCGUGAUACCUCGGGUGUCGUGUUGAGUGGUGUCAAAGGAUGUUGCAUGAUACCUGGGGGUGUCUGACACUGUCCAGGUAGGUGUCCUGAUACCCUGGGUGUCGUGUUGGGUGGUGCCAAGGGAUGUUCAUUGUCAUCUGACCAAGGGUGGGGUGGGAUACACAAGGGUGUCACGCUAAACCAAGGGCUAUUAAUAUAUUACAUUCACAAAUAGGAUUUUACUGGGUUUUCCCCAUGUAUUUUACCAAUUUUACCAAUUUUGAUAAUUACUGUUGUUUAGUCUCUGCAGUACCAGCUUGAUAUGUUUGGGAAGUCAAUCCGGUGCCUGCAUAGCUAAAUACAUUUCCAUGUUCCAUGUUGGCUAUCCUACUUGUGUUGAUGUGGGAUCUGUGUCCAUGUUGUUCUUUUUCAUGAUAAUGCUGAAUAUUUAAUUUCAGAAUUUGCCACAUGUUUUACAGAACCAUGUUUUGGUUUUGCUUUGUUCACACAUCGAAGCAUUCCCACAUGUCACAAACUGUUGAUUUGUAUCUGUGCCGCCUUCAGUGUUGUUUAUGUGUAUAUACCGUACAGAACAAUUACAGAUCAUGAAUGUGUUGAGGGAUAUUUUUUGUAAUUUUGACUGAGCAUGCAAUUUGUAGAUCAGCUGAUAAAUUGAGACAAGUACUGCAUUUUAUAUAUUUGUCUUAUUAUUCUCUUGGCCAAAACCAACUUUCAAGAAUAUAUUUUUUUAUUUAUUGUGUGUGUUCGGGCUGUCAGUGGAUGAUGUAGUUAAUGUAGCAUUCCACAAAUUUAGGGUAUAUUAUCACCACAAAUGUUGAUUAUUGUUUGUUGUUAUAAUAUGAAAUGUUAUGUUACUUACAUGUAUAUGCCAGUUCUUUUUUAUGGGGAAGGUUUCAAAAGUUUGGAUGUUAUUUACAUAUGCAAUUAUACUGAAUACAAUAUACAAUGUUUGUAUAUCCCGACAUUUCCUUGCUCACAUAUGAAACCUGUGCUGUGUUA